GAUGAAGAACGCAGCGAAAUGCGAUAAGUAAUGUGAAUUGCAGAAUUCAGUGAAUCAUCGAAUCUUUGAACGCACAUUGCGCCCCCUGGUAUUCCGGGGGGCAUGCCUGUUCGAGCGUCAUUUCACCACUCAAGCCUCGCUUGGUAUUGGGCAACGCGGUCCGCCGCGUGCCUCAAAUCGACCGGCUGGGUCUUCUGUCCCCUAAGCGUUGUGGAAACUAUUCGCUAAAGGGUGUUCGGGAGGCUACGCCGUAAAACAACCCCAUUUCUAAGGUUGACCUCGGAUCAGGUAGGGAUACCCGCUGAACUUAAGCAUAUCAAUAAGCGGAGA
rnacentral:misc_RNA from 1 species